rnacentral:rRNA from 1 species
AACGAACGCUGGCGGCAUGCCUAACACAUGCAAGUCGAACGAUGCUUUCGGGCAUAGUGGCGCCCGGGUGCGUAACGCGUGGGAAUCUGCCCUUGGGUUCGGAAUAACAGUGAGAAAUUGCUGCUAAUACCGGAUGAUGUCUUCGGACCAAAGAUUUAUCGCCCAGGGAUGAGCCCGCGUAGGAUUAGCUAGUUGGUGGGGUAAUGGCCUACCAAGGCGACGAUCCUUAGCUGGUCUGUGAGGAUGAUCAGCCACACUGGGACUGAGACACGGCCCAGACUCCUACGGGAGGCAGCAGUGGGGAAUAUUGGACAAUGGGCGCAAGCCUGAUCCAGCAAUGCCGCGUGAGUGAUGAAGGCCUUAGGGUUGUAAAGCUCUUUUACCCGGGAUGAUAAUGACAGUACCGGGAGAAUAAGCUCCGGCUAACUCCGUG